UACGUAGGUGGCAAGCGUUGUCCGGAUUUAUUGGGUUUAAAGGGUGCGUAGGCGGUUCCAUAAGUCAGUGGUGAAAUACGGCAGCUCAACUGUCGAGGUGCCAUUGAUACUGCGGAACUUGAGUGUUGAUGAGGCAGGCGGAAUUGACGGUGUAGCGGUGAAAUGCUUAGAUAUCGUCAAGAACACCGAUAGCGAAGGCAGGUUGCUACCAAUACAUUGACGCUGAUGGACGAAAGCGUGGGGAGCGAACAGG
rnacentral:rRNA from 1 species